GAGUUUGAUCAUGGCUCAGGACGAACGCUGGCGGCGUGCCUAAUACAUGCAAGUAGAACGCUGAAGAGAGGAGCUUGCUCUUCUUGGAUGAGUUGCGAACGGGUGAGUAACGCGUAGGUAACCUGCCUUGUAGCGGGGGAUAACUAUUGGAAACGAUAGCUAAUACCGCAUAACAAUAGGUGACACAUGUCAUUUAUUUGAAAGGGGCAAUUGCUCCACUACAAGAUGGACCUGCGUUGUAUUAGCUAGUAGGUGAGGUAACGGCUCACCUAGGCGACGAUACAUAGCCGACCUGAGAGGGUGAUCGGCCACACUGGGACUGAGACACGGCCCAGACUCCUACGGGAGGCAGCAGUAGGGAAUCUUCGGCAAUGGGGGCAACCCUGACCGAGCAACGCCGCGUGAGUGAAGAAGGUUUUCGGAUCGUAAAGCUCUGUUGUAAGUCAAGAACGAGUGUGAGAGUGGAAAGUUCACACUGUGACGGUAGCUUACCAGAAAGGGACGGCUAACUACGUGCCAGCAGCCGCGGUAAUACGUAGGUCCCGAGCGUUGUCCGGAUUUAUUGGGCGUAAAGCGAGCGCAGGCGGUUUGAUAAGUCUGAAGUUAAAGGCUGUGGCUCAACCAUAGUUCGCUUUGGAAACUGUCAAACUUGAGUGCAGAAGGGGAGAGUGGAAUUCCAUGUGUAGCGGUGAAAUGCGUAGAUAUAUGGAGGAACACCGGUGGCGAAAGCGGCUCUCUGGUCUGUAACUGACGCUGAGGCUCGAAAGCGUGGGGAGCGAACAGGAUUAGAUACCCUGGUAGUCCACGCCGUAAACGAUGAGUGCUAGGUGUUGGAUCCUUUCCGGGAUUCAGUGCCGCAGCUAACGCAUUAAGCACUCCGCCUGGGGAGUACGACCGCAAGGUUGAAACUCAAAGGAAUUGACGGGGGCCCGCACAAGCGGUGGAGCAUGUGGUUUAAUUCGAGGCAACGCGAAGAACCUUACCAGGUCUUGACAUCCCGAUGCUAUUUCUAGAGAUAGAAAGUUACUUCGGUACAUCGGUGACAGGUGGUGCAUGGUUGUCGUCAGCUCGUGUCGUGAGAUGUUGGGUUAAGUCCCGCAACGAGCGCAACCCCUAUUGUUAGUUGCCAUCAUUCAGUUGGGCACUCUAGCGAGACUGCCGGUAAUAAACCGGAGGAAGGUGGGGAUGACGUCAAAUCAUCAUGCCCCUUAUGACCUGGGCUACACACGUGCUACAAUGGUUGGUACAACGAGUUGCGAGUCGGUGACGGCAAGCUAAUCUCUUAAAGCCAAUCUCAGUUCGGAUUGUAGGCUGCAACUCGCCUACAUGAAGUCGGAAUCGCUAGUAAUCGCGGAUCAGCACGCCGCGGUGAAUACGUUCCCGGGCCUUGCACACACCGCCCGUC
rnacentral:rRNA from 1 species